rnacentral:rRNA from 1 species
UGGGGAAUAUUGGACAAUGGGCGCAAGCCUGAUCCAGCCAUGCCGCGUGAGUGAUGAAGGCCCUAGGGUUGUAAAGCUCUUUCACCGGUGAAGAUAAUGACGGUAACCGGAGAAGAAGCCCCGGCUAACUUCGUGCCAGCAGCCGCGGUAAUACGAAGGGGGCUAGCGUUGUUCGGAUUUACUGGGCGUAAAGCGCACGUAGGCGGACUAUUAAGUCAGGGGUGAAAUCCCGGGGCUCAACCCCGGAACUGCCUUUGAUACUGGUAGUCUUGAGUUCGAGAGAGGUGAGUGGAAUUCCGAGUGUAGAGGUGAAAUUCGUAGAUAUUCGGAGGAACACCAGUGGCGAAGGCGGCUCACUGGCUAGAUACUGACGCUGAGGUGCGAAAGCGGGGGGAGCAAACAGG